rnacentral:lncRNA from 1 species
AGCGGGGAAGGAAAGGAGGAAAAACAACAACAACAAAAGCCACGACAGAGAACGGGAAAAGGCAGAGACUGAAAGCGAAGGACCGUCGGAGGAGGAGGGCGAGAUGCGGAGGGUGCGGCCAGCGCGGUACCCGCCCCGGCGAGGCGCUGGGGAGGCCCGGGUGGGGAGAAGAAAUGGGGCCUGGGGGACGGUAGGAGCCUCCGUGCGGAGACCACUGUUCAAGGCCACAGGGACGCGAGCCUGCUUCCAUCUGACGCUGGACGCUUGUCCCUGCCCCGCGUUGCCUUUUAAAUUUUAGCUCAUUCCGAGACACCUGCCGUCAACGGCGUCGUGAGCAUGGGCGAUGGGAGGGGGCGCUGAGGCCUCGCCCUUGGGAAGCAGGAGCUGGGAGGUGCCCGGAUUAGGGUCUUUAAGACAUUUAUGCAGUGUGUGAUUCUUUCUAAAACAACUCCCUGGAAGAGAGGACAUUUAAUUCAACAAUUUAUUGGCCACCUACUGUGCACCAGGCAGUGAACUUGGAACUGGGGCUACUGGGUUACAGCAGUGACCAAGACAGAGGUCCCUGUUCUUAAGGAGCAAGUGAGGGCAACAGAAAAGAGCAGUCAGCUGUCAUGCGAGGGCACUCAAGCAGCCCUGUGGAAAGCUCUACGUGGUGAGAAACUGAAGCCUCCUGCCAACACCAACAAGGAACUGAGACCUACUUCCAACAGCCAUCUGAGUGAUCGAUCCAUCCUGGAAUCAGAUCCUCCAGCCCCAGUCAAGUCUUCAGAUGACUGCAGCCCUGACCAGCAUCUCAACUGCAACCUCGUGAAUGACCCUGAGCCAGAACCAUGCAACUAAACUCUGCGUGGAUUCAUGACCCACAGAAACUGUGAGAUGGUAGCUGUUUGCUUUGUUAAGCCUCUAAGUCUGGAAAGAAUGUCUUAAGCAGUAGCAGACAAUGAACACAAGAUUAUUAUUCAGCUGUUGAAUUGGAAGAGGAGGGGAAGAAAAAAUUUUCAGAUCACAAAAUAUUCAUUGUGUAAAACUUCAAAAAUUCUGAAAUUUAAGGAAAAAAUAUCAUUUGUUGG